rnacentral:rRNA from 1 species
AGCAGCAGCCGCGGGAAUACGGAGGGAGCUAGCGUUGUUCGGAAUUACUGGGCGUAAAGCGCACGUAGGCGGCUUUGUAAGUUAGAGGUGAAAGCCUGGAGCUCAACUCCAGAACUGCCUUUAAGACUGCAUCGCUUGAAUCCAGGAGAGGUGAGUGGAAUUCCGAGUGUAGAGGUGAAAUUCGUAGAUAUUCGGAAGAACACCAGUGGCGAAGGCGGCUCACUGGACUGGUAUUGACGCUGAGGUGCGAAAGCGUGGGGAGCAAACAGGAUUAGAUACCCCAGUAGUCCCUGUCUCUUAUAC